rnacentral:rRNA from 1 species
AAUCAACGCUGGCGGCGUGCCUCAGACAUGCAAGUCGAACGAGAAGUCCCCUUCGGGGGAUGGAUAGUGGCGCACGGGUGAGUAACACGUGGGUAAUUUACCUUUGGGUGGGGAACAACAGCCGGAAACGGCUGCUAAUACCGCAUAAUGCAGCGGCUCCUCAUGGAGACAGUUGUUAAAGCGGGGGAUCGCAAGACCUCGCGCCUGAAGAGAAGCCCGCGGCAGAUUAGCUAGUUGGUAAGGUAAUGGCUUACCAAGGCGACGAUCUGUAACCGGCCUGAGAGGGCGGUCGGUCACACUGACACUGACAUACGGGUCAGACUCCUACGGGAGGCAGCAGUCGGGAAUUUUGGGCAAUGGGCGAAAGCCUGACCCAGCAACGCCGCGUGAAGGAUGAAGUUUUUCGGAAUG